rnacentral:rRNA from 1 species
AGUAACGCGUGGGCAACCUGCCCCGCACUGGGGGACAACAGCCGGAAACGGCUGCUAAUACCGCAUAUGCGCACAGCUUUGCAUGAAGCAGUGUGGAAAACUCCGGUGGUGCGGGAUGGGCCCGCGUCUGAUUAGCCGGCUGGCGGGGCAACGGCCCACCAAGGCGACGAUCAGUAGCCGGCCUGAGAGGGUGGACGGCCACAUUGGGACUGAGACACGGCCCAGACUCCUACGGGAGGCAGCAG